GUUUUAGUGAAUUUGCUUUUGUUUGCUUCUGAUAGACAAGACAUAAAAGACCCUUUAAAAUGUGGAGCGCAGUACAGGAAUCCCUUUUCCCUGAGUCUUUACUGCUUUUUACUGAAGGGGGGUUAAGAUCCCAUAGAGUCUACUUUUCUCAUGAUUUUUUUCAUGUCCCUUUCUAGGUCCUCAUCUCUUCAACAUGUUUGUAAUUGAGCCAUUGAGAAUUGUUUCACUUGUUAUCUACUAGACACAGAAAGAUAAGAGAGAAAAAAAGAGAAAAAAAAUCACGUAAUGAAACUCUAUGUGCUCUAAUUGAUUUGCUUCAGAGUUUGCUAUGUCUGGCACAUGUUCUUCAGAUAAUGUGU
rnacentral:lncRNA from 10 species